CCUACGGGAGGCAGCAGUGGGGAAUCUUGCGCAAUGGGGGAAACCUUGACGCAGCAACGCCGCGUGGGUGAUGAAGGCCUUCGGGUCGUAAAGCCCUGUCAGGUGGGAAGAAACUUGUGGAUGAUAAUACCAUCCACACUUGACGGUACCACCGGAGGAAGCACCGGCUAACUCCGUGCCAGCAGCCGCGGUAAUACGGAGGGUGCAAGCGUUGUUCGGAAUUACUGGGCGUAAAGCGCGUGUAGGCGGUUGGGCAAGUCAGAUGUGAAAGCCUUCUGCUUAACAGAAGAAGUGCAUUUGAAACUACCCGGCUAGAGUACGGGAGAGGAGAGUGGAAUUCCCGGUGUAGAGGUGAAAUUCGUAGAUAUCGGGAGGAACACCAGUGGCGAAGGCGGCUCUCUGGUCCGAUACUGACGCUGAGACGCGAAAGCGUGGGGAGCAAACAGGAUUAGAUACCCUGGUAGUCCACGCCCUAAACGAUGGGCACUAGGUGUAGGAGGUAUUGACCCCUUCUGUGCCGAAGCUAACGCAUUAAGUGCCCCGCCUGGGGAGUACGGCCGCAAGGCUAAAACUCAAAGGAAUUGACGG
rnacentral:rRNA from 1 species